UACGUAGGGGGCAGGCGUUGUCCGGAUUUACUGGGCGUAAAGAGCGUGUAGGCGGCCAAGCAGGUCCGUUGUGAAAACUGGAGGCUUAACCUCCAGACGUCGACGGAAACCGCGUGGCUAGAGUCCGGAAGAGGAGAGUGGAAUUCCUGGUGUAGCGGUGAAAUGCGCAGAUAUCAGGAAGAACACCAAUGGCGAAGGCAGCUCUCUGGGACGGUACUGACGCUGAGACGCGAAAGCGUGGGGAGCGAACAGG
rnacentral:rRNA from 1 species